UACGUAGGGGGCAAGCGUUGUCCGGAUUUAUUGGGCGUAAAGAGCGUGUAGGCGGCUAGAUAGGUCCGUUGUGAAAACUCGAGGCUCAACCUCGAGACGUCGAUGGAAACCAUCUGGCUAGAGUCCGGAAGAGGAGAGUGGAAAUCCUGGUGUAGCGGUGAAAUGCGCAGAUAUCAGGAGGAACACCGGUGGCGAAGGCGGUUAGCUGGGCAGUUGCUGACACUGAGGCGCGACAGCGUGGGGAGCAAACAGG
rnacentral:rRNA from 1 species